rnacentral:rRNA from 1 species
UACGGAGGGGGCUAGCGUUGUUCGGAAUUACUGGGCGUAAAGCGCACGUAGGCGGCUUUGUAAGUUAGAGGUGAAAGCCCAGGGCUUAACCCUGGAAUUGCCUUUAAAACUGCAUCGCUAGAAUUGUGGAGAGGUAAGUGGAAUUCCGAGUGUAGAGGUGAAAUUCGUAGAUAUUCGGAAGAACACCAGUGGCGAAGGCGACUUACUGGACACAUAUUGACGCUGAGGUGCGAAAGCGUGGGGAGCAAACAGG